GAUGAACGCUAGCGGGAGGCUUAACACAUGCAAGUCGAGGGGCAGCACGAGGUAGCAAUACUUUGGUGGCGACCGGCGCACGGGUGAGUAACGCGUAUGCAACCUACCCUGUACAGGGGGAUAACCCGGAGAAAUUCGGACUAAUACCCCAUAAAGAUAUUUAGAGGCAUCUUUGAAUAUUUAAAGUUCCGGCGGUACGGGAUGGGCAUGCGUAACAUUAGCUAGUUGGUAAGGUAACGGCUUACCAAGGCAACGAUGUUUAGGGGUCCUGAGAGGGUGAUCCCCCAGACUGAUACUGAGACACGGACCAGACUCCUACGUGAGGCAGCAGUGAGGAAUAUUGGUCAAUGGGCGCAAGCCUGAACCAGCCAUCCCGCGUGAAGGAAGAAUGCGCUAUGCGUUGUAAACUUCUUUUCCAGGGGAAUAAAAUGUUGUACGUGUACGGAAUUGAAGGUACCCUGGGAAUAAGCAUCGGCUAACUCCGUGCCAGCAGCCGCGGUAACAC
rnacentral:rRNA from 1 species